GUGCCAGCAGCCGCGGUAAUACGGAGGAUGCAAGCGUUAUCCGGAUUCAUUGGGUUUAAAGGGUGCGCAGGCGGAAUGAUAAGUCAGUGGUGAAAUCUCCCGGCUCAACCGGGAAACUGCCAUUGAUACUGUCGUUCUUGAGUACAGUUGAAGUGGGCGGAAUGUGUCAUGUAGCGGUGAAAUGCUUAGAUAUGACACAGAACACCGAUAGCGAAGGCAGCUCACUAAGCUGUAACUGACGCUCAUGCACGAAAGCGUGGGGAUCAAACAGGAUUAGAAACCCCAGUAGUCC
rnacentral:rRNA from 1 species